GGUAAAGUGGCUGAUUUUAGGUGAUAAAUUGUAAAUUUAUUUAUGGUAAUUCCCUUUGCUA
rnacentral:tRNA from 1 species